CUCUUAUUCAGAGUGGUGGAGUUACAGGGAACGUUGAAGCCACGGCAACCCGGUCAUUAUGACGAAGGUGCCAGCCUGAGCACAGAUUAUUGUGAGCAAUAAGAG
rnacentral:ncRNA from 1 species